rnacentral:lncRNA from 1 species
CGUGUGACUCAUGUUUCGUGUUUGUUUAUAUAUUCAGUAAGUGCUUCCUUGUCCAUGAAACAAAAGUUGUGUCCAUAAUGAUAAACUUCAAAGGCAAGGUGGAUCAAUCUUGGAUGAGCAACAUUAUAUAUAUAUGCAAUCUAAAGAGAUUGCUCGUGUAUAAUGCUGCAUUUUGCAUCAUGCACCACGUGCAGUGCGUUGACACGUGUAUCUCAGAAUGCAAUAUACUAAAACCGUGGGUGCCAACCACUUCAAAAACACAUACUAAUACUUACGUAAAGAUUGGUGUAAUUUUUUCCGAAGAAUUUGAAUGUUCUUUUUAAUUUAACUUUAUCGGAACCACCGUCGUCAAUUGUUGGUGUUAGUUGGUCUCCAUAGGUUGAAUUGAAGGGGUAGAGUUCGGAAAGUGAAAUUCCACUACACAAAACCGCACAGUUUACUAUAGUGAUUAAUGAGAAUAAGAACUUAGCACUGAACCAAUUAGUUCUUAACACAUUUGAACACAUUAUAUUUUAAAAACGGCAUUGAUCUUGAAAUCUUACAUCCUGACGAUUUCUUUAUACCAUUCAUUUCGUCAGGAAAAUGAUUUCACAAAAAUUUCACGUUUGAAAUUAUUAAAUAAUCCAUACUUUAAUACAUUGUAAUUCCCAAUAAUAAACACACACACAACUAUUCAUCUUCCGUUUUAAUUUUCUCAAUGCAUAACAUCCUAUAUCAUGGCCUAACUUAUAACCAUAUGAUUGUGUAGUUAACGUGUAAAUAUAGGUCAUCUGUUCAUGUAAAAGGUUGGGUGUGGUUACAUUUUAUACAACUGACAGAUGU